rnacentral:misc_RNA from 1 species
GAUGAAGAACGUAGCGAAAUGCGAUAAGUAAUGUGAAUUGCAGAAUUCAGUGAAUCAUCGAAUCUUUGAACGCACAUUGCGCCCAUUAGUAUUCUAGUGGGCAUGCCUGUUCGAGCGUCAUUUCAACCCUCAAGCCUUAGUUGCUUGGUGUUGGGAGCUUAUCUUGCCGAAAGGCGGGACAACUCCUUAAAUUUAUCGGCGGAGUCGCGGUGACCCCAAGCGUAGUAAAUUUUUUUUUUUUCCUCGCUUUAGGUGUUAACGCUGGCUUUCUAGCCGUUAAACCCCCCCCUAAUACUUUAAUGGUUGACCUCGGAUCAGGUAGGACUACCCGCUGAACUUAAGCAUAUCAAUAAGCGGAGGA